GACGUAGGGGGCGCGAGCGUUUUUUUUUUUUUUUUUUUUUGCCGGAUUUUUAUUUGGGCGUAAAGAGCUCGUUAGGCGGCUUUGUUUGCGUCAGCUGUGAAAAACCCGCAGCUCAACUUGUGGGCUUUGCAGCUGAUACGGGGCAGGCUUUUGAGUUUCGGUAGGGGAGACUGGAAUUUCCUGGUGUAGCGGUGAAAAUGCGCAGAUAUCAGGAGGAACACCGGUGGCGAAAGGCGGGUCUCUGG
rnacentral:rRNA from 1 species